rnacentral:lncRNA from 1 species
CCAGGCUGGAGUGCAAUGGCAUGAUCUCGGCUCACCGCAACCUCUGCCUCCUGGGUUCAAGCGAUUCUCCUGCCUCAGCCUCCUGAGUAGCUGGGAUUACAGGCAUGCGCCACUACACUUGGCUAAUUUUGUAUUUUUAGUAGAGACAGGGUUUCUCCACGUUGGUCAGGCUGGUCUUGAACUCCCAACCUUAGGUAAUCCACUGGUCUUGGCCUCCCACAGUGCUGGGAUUACAGGCGUGAGUCACCACACCUGGCCUCCUUCCCCUCCCCUCCCCUUCUUUCUUUCUUUUUUCUUUCUUUCUUCCUUUCUUUCUUUCUUUUCUUUCUUUCUUUCUUUCUUUCUUUCUUUCUUUCUUUCUUUCUUUCUUUCCUUUCUUUCUUUGUCUUUCUUUCUUUCUUUCCUUCCUUCCUUCUUUGUUUCUUUCUUUUCUUUCUUUCUCUUUUCUUUCUCUCUUUUCUCUCUCUCUCUCUCUUGAGUUUCGCUCUUUUGCCCAGGCUGGAGUACAGUGGCGAUAUGUCAGUUCAUUGCAAACUUCACCUCCUGGGUUCAAGUGAUUCUACUGACUCAGCCUCCCGAGUAGCUGGGAUUACAGGUGUGCACCACCACGCCUGGCUAAUUUUUGUAUUUUUAGCACAGACAGAGUUUCACCAUGUCAGCCAGGCUGGUCUCAAACUCCUGAUCUGAAGUGAUCCACCCACCUUGGCCUCCCAAAGUGCUGGGAUUACAGAUGUGAGCCAUAGCACCUGCUUGCCUCAGGAUCUAAUUGUAUCUUUUCAAUUAUCUUUUUUUUUUUUAGACGGAGUCUCGCGCUACUGGCAGGCUGGAGUGCAGUGGCACAAUCUCGGCUCACUGCAACCUCCACCUCCCGGAUUCAAGCAGUUCUCCUGCCUCAGCCUCCCGAGUAGCUGGGACUACAGGUGCGUGCCACCACAGCAGCUAAUUUUUGUAUUUUUAGUAGAGGCAGGGUUUCACCAUGUUGGCCAGGAUGGUCUUGAUCUCUUGACUUUGUGAUCCACCUGCCUCGGCCUCCCAAAGUGCUGGGAUUACAGGCGUGAGCCACCACGCCUGGCCUGUAUCUUUUCGAUUUUUAAAAAUUUUGUUAGUGAUGGUGUCUUGCUAUGUUGCGACUUUGGAAUGCAGUGGCUAUGCACAGGUGUGAUUGUGGCUCACUGAAGCCCCAAACUCCUGGGCUCAAUUGAUCCUCCCACUUCAGCCUUCCGAGUAGCUGGUCCUACAGUUGUAUUCCACUAUACCCAGUUAGUUUUUUAUUUUUUGUAGAGACAGGAUCUCCCUAUGUUGCCCAAGCUGGUCUUGAACUCUUGCUCUCAAGUGACCCUGCCACCUUGGCCUCCCAAAGUGUUGGGAUUACAGGCGUGAGCCACUGCACCUGGCCUGUACCAAUUAUAUUUUGAAGUGAUUUGUUAAUGCCGUCUUGAGAGCAGGGAUCGUAUCUCCUAGAUUGCUUUCUGAUACAUGAUAGGUGCACAGUAUGUAUUUGUGGGUAGUCUGGAGAAAAUACUGUAAUAUUGAGAUCUAAAAAAUCGUUGUAAAAGUUGCCUUGUUCUUUUUUUUGACCAAGUUUCGCUCUUGUUGCCCAGGCUGCAGUGCAAUGGUGUGAUCUCAGCUCACUGCAACCUCCAUCUCCCAGGUUCAAGCGAUUCUUCUGUCUCAGCCUCCCUAGCAGCUGGGAUUACAGGCAUGCACCACCACGCCUAGCUAAUUUUGUAUUUUUAGUAGAGACAGGGUUUCACUAUGUUGGCCAGGCUGGUCUUGAACUCCUAACCUCAAGUGAUCCAUCUGCCUCAGCUUCCCAAAGUGCUGGGAUUACAGGUGUGAGCCACUGCACCCAGCCAAAGCUGCCUUUUUGAUCCAGACUUGUAAUAGGAUUCCAUCUACUCUUAAGAAUUUUUUUUUUUUUUUUGAGAUGGAGUCUCACUCUGUUGUCCAGGCUAGAGUGCAAUGGUGUGAUCCUGGCUCACUGCAACCUCUGCCUCCCUGGUGCAAACGAUUCUCCUGCUUAAGCCUGCCAAGUAGCUGGGACUACAGGUCUGCACCACCACCCCUGGCUAAUGUUUUGUAUGUUUAGUAGAGACAGGGUUUCACUAUGUUGCCCAGGCUAGUCUCGAACUCCUG